rnacentral:rRNA from 11 species
AUAUAUACCUAAAGACCCUAAAGGCACCAGAUUAUUUUGGGGCUUGGAAGCUAGUCAGGGUUACCCUUGCUUAGUAUGUGGACAGGAGACUACCAGUGAACCCCAGGUGCUGUAGACC